GCAUAUCAAAAAGCGGAGGAAAAGAAACCACCGUGGAUUGUCCCAGUAACGGCGAGUGAAGCGGCAAGAGCUCAAAUUUGAAAGCUGGCUCCUUCGGGGUCCGCAUUGUAAUUUGUAGAGGAUGCUUCGGGAGCGGUCCCCAUCUAAGUGCCCUGGAACGGGACGUCAUAGAGGGUGAGAAUCCCGUAUGGGAUGGGGUGUCCGCGCCCGUGUGAAGCUCCUUCGACGAGUCGAGUUGUUUGGGAAUGCAGCUCUAAAUGGGUGGUAAAUUUCAUCUAAAGCUAAAUAUUGGCCGGAGACCGAUAGCGCACAAGUAGAGUGAUCGAAAGAUGAAAAGCACUUUGAAAAGAGAGUUAAAAAGCACGUGAAAUUGUUGAAAGGGAAGCGCUUGCGACCAGACUCGCUCGCGGGGUUCAGCCGGCAUUCGUGCCGGUGUACUUCCCCGCGGGCGGGCCAGCGUCGGUUUGGGCGGUCGGUCAAAGGCCCUCGGAAGGUAACGCCCCUAGGGGCGUCUUAUAGCCGAGGGUGCAAUGCGACCUGCCUAGACCGAGGAACGCGCUUCGGCUCGGACGCUGGCUUGAUGGUGGUUUACGACCCGUCUUGACCC
rnacentral:rRNA from 1 species